rnacentral:rRNA from 1 species
GAUGAACGCUGGCGGCGUGCCUAAUACAUGCAAGUCGAGCGAACAGAUGAGGAGCUUGCUCCUCUGACGUUAGCGGCGGACGGGUGAGUAACACGUGGAUAACCUACCUAUAAGACUGGGAUAACUUCGGGAAACCGGAGCUAAUACCGGAUAAUAUAUUGAACCGCAUGGUUCAAUAGUGAAAGACGGUUUUGCUGUCACUUAUAGAUGGAUCCGCGCCGCAUUAGCUAGUUGGUAAGGUAACGGCUUACCAAGGCAACGAUGCGUAGCCGACCUGAGAGGGUGAUCGGCCACACUGGAACGGAGACACGGUCCAGACUCCUACGGGAGGCAGCAGUAGGGAAUCGUCCGCAAUGGGCGAAAGCCUGACGGAGCAACGCCGCGUGAGUGAUGAAGGUCUUCGGAUCGUAAAACUCUGUUAUUAGGGAAGAACAAAUGUGUAAGUAACUAUGCACGUCUUGACGGUACCUAAUCAGAAAGCCACGGCUAACUACGUG